AACGAACGCUGGCGGCAGGCUUAACACAUGCAAGUCGAACGGAUCCUUCGGGAUUAGUGGCAGACGGGUGAGUAACGCGUGGGAACGUACCCUUUGCUACGGAAUAACUCAGGGAAACUUGAGCUAAUACCGUAUGUGCCCUACGGGGGAAAGAUUUAUCGGCAAAGGAUCGGCCCGCGUUGGAUUAGCUAGUUGGUGGGGUAAUGGCCUACCAAGGCGACGAUCCAUAGCUGGUCUGAGAGGAUGAUCAGCCACACUGGGACUGAGACACGGCCAGACUCCUACGGGAGGCAGCAGUGGGGAAUAUUGGACAAUGGGCGCAAGCCUGAUCCAGCCAUGCCGCGUGAGUGAUGAAGGUCUUAGGAUUGUAAAGCUCUUUCACCGGUGAAGAUAAUGACGGUAGCCGGAGAAGAAGCCCCGGCUAACUUCGUG
rnacentral:rRNA from 1 species